AAAUCAUAUACAUACAUGAAAUUAUGAGUACUAAUCCAAAACUUCCACAAGUAUUCUAAUAAAUCCAAUAAAUAUAUCAUUUCACAACUUUGUUUUCUACUAAUUUUUCUUCCUUCUUCGAAAAAAUAAAACUAUAUACGACCAAAUAUGCUUUUUUUUUCUCCAAAACAAAAAAAAAUAGCUAAUGUGAAAGCAAAUGAAAAAAACCCAAAAAUACUAAUAUUUCAAUUCCUACAAAUCAUCGGCACGUGCCAAGUCAUCGACUUCAGUCUCAUUCGCACGUGCGAACAACAAUGCGAGGCCCACUCAAAACGGCUUUUGCAGAUACAUGAAUAUAUCUUGUAGCGGUGACAUCUCAUAACAACUCUGCAACUCAGAAGCAGUGGCAUCUGUGUAAUUAAAUGGAAAAUCAAGGGCAGUUUUUUCCCACUCACUCGGUUUCGGCUUCGGCUCACUCUGAACUUCCUUCUCAUAUGUGAACUCCGGCGAAGGUACGUGCUCCGAGCAGCUGGAAUCGGCGUGAAGUUUCGUAAGAGAAUCUGGUGAAUUAAAGUACGUGAAGUCAUUGUAAACGUGAUAAGACGUCGAAGAUGGGUUUGUUGAAACUGAAAUCGGCACGAUCUCAGGCUUUACAUCACCUUCACUCACCGCCGGCGACAUUUCACCGUUCAUUUUUCGGAUAUUCAGUUGAUUCUUCUCAAUUGUACCUUUCUUAUUGUAGAUUCGACAUAAAACCCAAUCAUCGAGUCUUAGGCUGUUGUUUUUGUUACGAGCAGAUCGAUCAACAUGAGCAAGUCGAUAUUCGUGCAUAAUCCAAUUUGUUUUUUCUCCCUUCGGAGCUUUUCCUGCGUAAAACACCAAAGCUUUCUUAAUUCCCAUCGACUUUGGACGACCAAUCGGCUUAUCCGCACCCGUCGCCUUCCAGUAUCCACUCCCCGCAGCUCGGUUCGGCCGUGAACCGUUCGGAUACUUCCGAUCUCUCGGCGAAAAGAAAUACCACUCUUUCUCACCAUACAAAGCCAAAUCAGGUAGAUCCCAUGGAUUGUACUUGUAGAGAUCAAUUUCAGCUAUAAUCGGAACAGCAAUUGGCUGUGCGUCGCAUUUUCGACAUAAAUAAUGCAUCACAAGCUCUUCAUCAGUUGGAUGGAA
rnacentral:misc_RNA from 1 species